rfam:Drosophila persimilis strain MSH-3 cont1.000163, whole genome shotgun sequence.
AAACAAGCCCUUUUCAGGGCUACAAAACUAUAUUCAAAAGAGAUA